UUUUAUGGCAGGCUGGAUAGGGCAGUCUUCGGACUGGCCGUUUCCUUUGUAGCGGUAUUUCCACCCCUGUUCAGUCUGUCACCAUU
rnacentral:antisense_RNA from 1 species